rnacentral:rRNA from 1 species
CUGAGGGUAGCGGAGAAAUUCCAAUCGAACCUGGAGAUAGCUGGUUCUCUCCGAAAUAGCUUUAGGGCUAGCCUCAAGUGAUGAUUAUUGGAGGUAGAGCACUGUUUGGACGAGGGGCCCCUCUCGGGUUACCGAAUUCAGACAAACUCCGAAUGCCAAUUAAUUUAACUUGGGAGUCAGAACAUGGGUGAUAAGGUCCGUGUUCGAAAGGGAAACAGCCCAGACCACCAGCUAAGGUCCCAAAAUAUAUGUUAAGUGGAAAAGGAUGUGGCGUUGCCCAGACAACUAGGAUGUUGGCUUAGAAGCAGCCAUCAUUUAAAGAGUGCGUAAUAGCUCACUAGUCGAGUGACACUGCGCCGAAAAUGUACCGGGGCUAAACAUAUUACCGAAGCUGUGGAUUGUCCUUUGGACAAUGGUAGGAGAGCGUUCUAAGGGCGUUGAAGCAUGAUCGUAAGGACAUGUGGAGCGCUUAGAAGUGAGAAUGCCGGUGUGAGUAGCGAAAGACGGGUGAGAAUCCCGUCCACCGAUUGACUAAGGUUUCCAGAGGAAGGCUCGUCCGCUCUGGGUUAGUCGGGUCCUAAGCUGAGGCCGACAGGCGUAGGCGAUGGAUAACAGGUUGAUAUUCCUGUACCACCUAUAAUCGUUUUAAUCGAUGGGGGGACGCAGUAGGAUAGGCGAAGCGUGCGAUUGGAUUGCACGUCUAAGCAGUAAGGCUGAGUAUUAGGCAAAUCCGGUACUCGUUAAGGCUGAGC